rnacentral:misc_RNA from 1 species
GGGUGGUUAUAUAUAAUUUUUAAGAUCCUUUUUGUGUAGACCAAAGGUGAUUUAGUGAGAGUUUUAAGUGGGUCUGCUUUCUCUCUCUUUGCUUUGAGAUUCUACGACAAAUUUUAGCCCGAUGCAAAUGACCCUAUACUCUGCAAAGGAUUUUGGAGCCUGUUUAUUUUGGGAUUGCUUGAGCUACUUUUGAUUGUUGGAGGGCAUUCAGUUCUAUUGUUUGUCAUCGUUUAUUGGCAAAGUAUCCCUUGGAGACGUUAUCGAUGUCACCUCCUUAAGCAUCCAAUCUCUCAAAGGCUAUACAGCAGAAGGGCUCUACUUCGCAAUCCGCCUUAGCCCCCUUCUUCAAUCCUACUUUUCAUUUCUAUAUACUUGGCCCAAAGAUUUUGUUUGCAGGGGUUAAAACCCUUUCUUACGUUCCAAGUUGUGCUCCGAUUACUGUUAGCUUGAUUCUUCACCUCUUAGGCGUCCUGGCUUCGGGCUUCUCUUGGUUUUGUUGGUUUCUGGCUUACUUUUUGCUAUGCUAUGGAGGCAUGCAUGUUCCAGCUGAGCUUCUUGGUGCUUUUGAAGUCUACCCAUGGUUGCUGUGUUUUGCUGCUGUGUAAACCGCGCUGCACACCUGCUUGAAGGAGCUUCUGCAAAUCU